rnacentral:rRNA from 1 species
AGGCAGCAGUUAGGAAUCUUCCGCAAUGGACGAAAGUCUGACGGAGCAACGCCGCGUGAGUGAUGAAGGUUUUCGGAUCGUAAAACUCUGUUGUUAGGGAAGAACAAGUACCGUUCGAAUAGGGCGGUACCUUGACGGUACCUAACCAGAAAGCCACGGCUAACUACGUGCCGGCAGCCGCGGUAAUACGUAGGUGGCAAGCGUUGUCCGGAAUUAUUGGGCGUAAAGCGCGCGCAGGCGGUUUCUUAAGUCUGAUGUGAAAGCCCCCGGCUCAACCGGGGAGGGUCAUUGGAAACUGGGGAACUUGAGUGCAGAAGAGGAGAGUGGAAUUCCAUGUGUAGCGGUGAAAUGCGUAGAUAUAUGGAAGAACACCGGUGGCGAAGGCGGCUCUCUGGUCUGUUACUGACGCUGAGGCUCGAAAGCAUGGGUAGCGAACAGGAUUAGAUACCCUAGUAGUCC